GCGGGCGUAGCUCAGUGGUAGAGCAUCUCGUUGCCAACGAGAGGGUCGAGGGUUCGAAUCUCUUCGCCCGCUCCA
rnacentral:tRNA from 3 species